rnacentral:rRNA from 1 species
CCUACGGGAGGCAGCAGUGGGGAAUAUUGCACAAUGGGCGAAAGCCUGAUGCAGCGACGCCGCGUGAGGGAUGACGGCCUUCGGGUUGUAAACCUCUUUCAGCAGGGAAGAAGCGCAAGUGACGGUACCUGCAGAAGAAGCACCGGCUAACUACGUGCCAGCAGCCGCGGUAAUACGUAGGGUGCGAGCGUUGUCCGGAAUUAUUGGGCGUAAAGAGCUCGUAGGCGGCCUGUCGCGUCGGAUGUGAAAGCCCGGGCUCAACCUGGGAAUGGCGAUGAAGACUGCAAGGCUAGAAUCUGGCAGAGGGGGGUAGAAUUCCACGUGUAGCAGUGAAAUGCGUAGAGAUGUGGAGGAACACCGAUGGCGAAGGCAGCCCCCUGGGUCAAGAUUGACGCUCAUGCACGAAAGCGUGGGGAGCAAACAGGAUUAGAUACCCUUGU